GAGGAAGAACAGAAGGAAGACAAUUGGCCCACUUUGGGGAAUUCAAGGAAGGCUGCUUGGAGGAGAGAAAGCUUGAGCUGAAUGUUGGCAGUGGAAAAGGAGUGAGGAGGACAGGGGGAGCGCAGGAUUCCAGUGGAGCUGUUCCCCCUUCACCUUGGAGGAGACGGAGCCUUGGUGGUGGAGGGAACCGCUCGCUGGGCCGGCUUCUGCAGGGGCCAUGGCGUCCCUCCGGAUGAAAGGCUCAGCGGAACUUGAAGUCAUUAUCGUGAUCAAGGACGCAGGGAACCGUUUCGGCGUGUAAAUGCAGAUGCUCUCUUGGUUUCUGUGAUAGAUGUGUUCCCAGUGCCAAUGCAGCAGUGUGUUGAAUUCUUUUUAAAAUCUGAAAGACCUGCAGGCUCUUCUCUCCUUUUCUUAAAUCCAUUUCCCUGUUGAGAUGAAAAAUGUAAUACUUUUCAGCUUACUUUAGACUUUCUUCAAAAGUAUUUCUGGAAAAGGAUCCUUCAUGUGGAGCAUAUGAAAACUGUCAGAGGAUAGGAGAGAGCAAGGUUUUGAAAACACACUAAUGGACAGCCAUUAUGCCGUAGGGAGUUCCCCCGGAGAGCAGAAAAAUACAGGCUGGGGAAAUCGGGGGAAACAGAGCACAGAGGCUGUGGAUUAAGAGACGAAGAGAGUCCAGAGAUACUAAA